CUGUCGGUGUUUAAUGUUCGAAAAAGAACACGUUUUACUCCUCGGGGUAUGUUCGAUGACCUCAUCACUUCAGAUGAUUAACAAGGAAACAACCAAAACUCUUAGGUUUCUUCCCAUUGAGAUUCAAUGACCUCAUCACUUCAGCUGAUUAACAAGAAAACAAGCAAAACUCUUAGGUUUCGCCCCAUUGAGACCAAAAUAUUGUGCAAUAACAACAACAACUACCCAGUAUAGUCCCACAGAAUGGGGUUUGGGGAGGGUAAUAUGUAGAAAGGCC
rnacentral:lncRNA from 1 species